UAUCGUGGCUGCAGUGUGCACAAUCCACAAAUGCUGAUGACACUGUCAUAGGCCAAAGCAGGGGGAGCUUACAGGUAGGAGAUUGAAAAUCUGGCUGAGAGGAGUCAUAACCUCUCACUCACUGUCAGCAAGACCAAAGGACCAAUUAUUGAUUUCAGGAGAGAGAAAACAGAAGUCCCUGAGCCAGUCUUCAUUGGAGGAUCAGAGGUGAAGAGGAAAAUCUGCAGAUGCUGGAAAUUUUGAGCAACACACACAAAAUGCUGGAGGAGCUCAACAGGCCAGGCAGCAUCCAUGGAAAAAAGUAAACAGCCGAUGCUUCAGGCCGGGACCCUUCAGCAGGACCAAUGUAUCGGUAUCAGCGGUCGCAUAACCAGGACUUGUGAUGGCUCCACGGUUUCGCGUCACCCUGAUCUGCGGGGAUUGACUCAAAUUUUCCAGUUCUUCUUCUGCCUGUUGGGUGACGGGGUGGAGAUGCUUCUCUACCAGAUGAACUCAAUGCCUUCUAUGCCGGCUUUGAAAGGGAGAAUAUAACUACAGCUGUGAAGAUUCCUGCUGCACCUGAUGACCCUGUGAUCUCUGUCUCAGAGGCCGAUGUUAGGCUGUCUUUAAAGAGAGUGAACCCUCACAAGGUGGAAGGUCCUGCUGGACAUCCUGGUAAGGCUCUGAAAACCUGUGUAAACCAACUGGUGGGAAUAUUCAAGGACAUUUUCAACCUCUCACUGCUACAAGUGGAAGUUCCCACUUGCUUUAAAAAGGCAACAAUACCAGUGCUUAAGAAUAAUGUGAGCUACCUUAAUGACUACCACCUGGUGGCACCCACUGCUCUACUCUCUCUAUACCCAUCACUGUGCGACUGGGCAUAGUUCAAAUACCAUCUAUAAAUUUGCUGAUGAUACAACCAUUGUUGGCAGAAUCUCAGAUGGUGACGAGAUAGCGUACAGGAGUGAGAUAUGCCGACUAGUGGAGUGGUGUCAUAGCAAUAACCUGGCACUCAACGUCAGUAAGACGAAAGAAUCAGAAUAAGAAAAAGAAUCAGAAAGACGCUUUGCAAUUCGCCUACCGGAGCGACAGGUCAACGGCAGAUGCCAUUUCUCUGGCUCUACAUUCCUCCUUAGAACACCUGGAGAAUAAAUAUGCAUAUGUAAGGCUCCUUUUCAUGACUACAGCUCUGCCUUUGAUACCAUCAUUCCAAAUAAACUGAUUCCUAAGCUCCGGAACCUGGGUCUUAGCACUCAGAUCUGCAGCUGGAUCUUCAACUUCCUCACAGACAGGACCCAGGCUGUAAAAAUAGGGGACAAGCUCUCCUCUACAAUCACUCUGAGCACUGGUGCCCCACAAGGCUGUGUACUCAGCCCCCUGCUGUACUCACUGUACACCCAUGAUUGUGUAGCCAAGUUUCCAUCAAACUCAAUAUACAAGUUUGCUGAUGACACCACAAUUGUUGGCCGUAUCUUGGGUAAUGAUGAGUCUGAGUACAGAGAGGAAAUUAAGAACCUGGUGGCAUGGUGCGAAGACAAUAACCUAUCCCUCAACGUCAGCAAGACGAAGGAAUUGGUUGUUGACUUCAGAAGGAGUAGCAAACUGCACGACCCCAUCUACAUCGGUGGUGCGCAGGUGAAACAGGUCAAAAGCUUUAAGUUCCUCGGGGUGAAUAUCACAAAUGACCUGACUUGGUCUAACCAAGCAGAGUCCACUGCCAAGAAGGCCCACCAGCACCUUUACUUCUUGUGAAAGCUGAAGAAAUUUGGCCUGUCCCCUAAAACCCUCACUAAUUUUUAUAGAUGCACCGUAGAAAGCAUUCUUCUAGGGUGCAUCACAACCUGGUAUGGAAGUUGUCCCGUCCAAGACUGGAAGAAGCUGCAGAAGAUUGUGAACUCGGCCCAGCACAUCACACAAACCAAUCUUCCAUCCUUGGACUCACUUUACACCGCACGCUGUCCGAGCAGUGCUGCCAGGAUAAUCAAGGACACGACCCACCCAGCCAACACACUUUUUGUCCCUCUUCCCUCUGGGAGAAGGUUCAGGAGCUUGAAGAUUCAUACGGCCAGAUUUGGUAACAGCUUCUUUCCAACUGUGAUAAGACUGCUGAAUGGAUCCUGACCCGGAUCUGGGCCAAACCUUCCAAAUAUCCAGACCUGACUUGCACUACCUUACUUUCCCUUUUCUAUUUUCUAAUUAUGAUUUAUAAUUUAAAUUUUUAUUACAUUUACUUUGAUUUGUACUUCAGGGAGCGCAAAGCGCAGAAUCAAAUAUCACUGUGAUGAUUGUACGCUCUAGUAUCAAUUGUUUUGGUGACAAUAAAGUACAAGAGCUGAUUGUGGACUUCAGGAAGGGUAAAACAAAGGAACACAUACCAAUCCUCAGAGUGAUCAGAAGUGGAGAGAGUGAGCAGUUUCAAGUUCCUGAGUGUCAACAUCUUUGAGGAUCUAACCUGGUCCCAACAUAUCAAUGCAGUUAUAAAAAAGGUAAGACAGUGGCUAUACUUCAUUAGGAGUUUGAAGAGAUUUGGCAUGUCAACAAAUAUACUCAAAAACUUCUACAGAUGUACCAUGGAGAGCAUUCUGACAGGCUGCAUCACUGUCUGGUAUGGGGGGGGGGAGGGGGGCUACUGCACAGG